rnacentral:rRNA from 1 species
GACGAACGCUGGCGGCGUGCUUAACACAUGCAAGUCGAACGGUAAGGCCCUUCGGGGUACACGAGUGGCGAACGGGUGAGUAACACGUGGGUGAUCUGCCCUGCACUUCGGGAUAAGCCUGGGAAACUGGGUCUAAUACCGGAUAGGACCACUGCCUGCAUGGGUGGUGGUGGAAAGCUUUUGCGGUGUGGGAUGGGCCCGCGGCCUAUCAGCUUGUUGGUGGGGUGAUGGCCUACCAAGGCGACGACGGGUAGCCGGCCUGAGAGGGUGACCGGCCACGCUGGGACUGAUAUACGGCCCAGACUCCUACGGGAGGCAGCAGUGGGGAAUAUUGCACAAUGUGCGCAAGCCUGAUGCAGCGACGCCGCGUGGGGGAUGACGGCCUUCGGGUUGUAAACCUCUUUCAGCACCGACGAAGCGCAAGUGACGGUAGGUGCGGAAGAAGGACCGGCCAACUACGUGCCAGCAGCCGCAGUAA